UUGGGGGAUUGUGUAUCUCUCGAGCGAGUAAGGAUACGUUUGACCACUUGGGGUCGGGACUCAAAUUCAUCAUGAACCUAAUAUGUUGGCAUGAAUUCACACACACGUCAAGUACGCAUUUAACAGGUAAAGGUUGAUGUCAUUUUUGCACUGAUAAAUUUUCAUAAAAUCAAAUACUUAGUCCAAUCCUGAGCCACAGUAGGGUAUUAAGUCUUGUUUGUUCAGAAUUAAGUCACUAUCUUGUUUGAGGACAAAUAAUAGUUCAAGUUUGGGGGGUUUGAUAAGUGUGUUUUUGCACACUUAUCUAGGUCACAAACAUGACUUAAUUACGAGCAAAAUGAUUGAAUUGUGACUUAAUUUUGUUACAUUUGUGAAUUGUAGGGAACAUCGAUAAACAUGAUGAAAUUCAGGAGAAAAGACGCGAAAAAGGACUAAAAUGACUCAAAGUAAAAGUUUAGGGACCAAAGUGCAAUUAUCCAAAAGAUGGUCUGAAGGACAAAUCAAGGAAGUGAAUGAGCUAAGUACCAAUUUGGUGAUAUUAUGAGAUGAUGGAAAUAAAAGAAACAAGCAAAAAGGACCAAAAUGAAUCAAACUGUAAGUUCGGUGACCAAGUUGAAAAUAAUCCAUAGAUGAGACGGGAAAUGGAAUGAAGAUUCAAGAGUGUUAGAGGUCAAUUGGAUGAGGAAAGGAGUCAAGAGGUGAAAUAUGAUCGAAGUAUUAUCAAGUAUCAACUUUCAGUUGAAAAAGCUAUGCUCGUGAUUUUUAGUCUCUAUUUGAGAUCCAUUUUUGGCAUAGUAAACAUCCGAAUUUGAGGAAGCCUAUUUCUAUCAAAAGUGUAGAUCUUUGAGUUUUCUUCCCAAUUCACUUUGAAUCACUUCAAUCGAAGAUCAGGAGAAAAUAUUAUGACCAAAAUACUAAAAACUGUCCGGCAGAAAGAAUCGCAUAACUAUGCGGUCGCAUAG
rnacentral:lncRNA from 1 species